rfam:Camelus ferus unplaced genomic scaffold scaffold1140, whole genome shotgun sequence.
UUCAUAUCUUAAAGAAACAGCUUUCAAGUGCCUUUCUGCAGUUUUUUCAGGAGCGCAAGAUAGAUU